rnacentral:misc_RNA from 1 species
UGUUGGAUGUUUCUCUCAUACAAAAGAAACAGAUUCCAAAAAGUUUCUUUGCAGCAAACACAUGUUGUCAUGCAUGGAUGAAUUGUGACCGUACAUGUGCUUUUGUUUCAGAGGUACUCAACAUGGUCAACCUACUCUUUGAAUGCUCUUAACACAACUUAUUUCAACAUCAUCAGCAAGUGAAAAAUCAUUGACAUCCACAAAACUGCUACAGGCAUGCAUGACAAUAUACUCAAUCCAGUAAAUUAAGUUACAAGACAGCUUUUGUUUUCAGGGGUUUCUUAUUUUGUAUAGCAAGGUGUAAGAGACAGAUGAAAUGGCAAAAAGGAGUAAAGUUAAUCACAAAAAUAUUUUUUCUAUAAUGAAUAUGUUAACCAGUUAAUCAAGAACUAAACUGCAUAUUUUUGAAACAGUGAAGACUUAACUGUUUAUUACAUUAAACCUUGGGUAGGAGGGUCCUGAUAAUUAACCCUAAAUGAAAUGCAUUUUGUUGUGAUCAUGAGGGUACCAAGCUUCUAUGAAAUUCUUCAACGAAUGAAUCAAGUA